rnacentral:rRNA from 1 species
GACGAACGCUGGCGGCGUGCCUAAUACAUGCAAGUAGGACGCAGUUGCGAACGGGUGAGUAACGCGUAGGUACCUACCUCUUAGAGGGGGAUAACUAUUGGACACGAUAGCAAAUACCGCAUACUAGUAGAUGGACCUGCGUUGGAUUAGCUAGUAGGUAGGGUAAUGGCCUACCUCGGCAACGAUACAUACCCGGCCUGAGAGGGGGAUCGGCCACACUGGGACUUAGACACGGCUCAGAGGUCUACGGGAGGCAGCAGUAGGGAAUCUUCGGCAAUGGGGGGAACCCUGACCGAGCAACGCCGCGUGAGGGAAGAAGGUUUUCGGAUAGUAAAGCUCUGUUGUUAAGGAAGCGGUACUUAACCAGAAAGGGACGGCUAACUACGUGCCAGCAGCCGCGGUAAUAC